CCUANGGGCGGCUGCAGUCGAGAAUAUUCCCCAAUGGGCGAAAGCCUGAGGGAGCGACGCCGCGUGCGGGAUGAAGGCCUUCGGGUCGUAAACCGCUUUUGCCGAGGAAGAACUAUGACGGUACUCGGAGAAUAAGAGGUUGCUAACUCUGUGCCAGCAGCAGCGGUAAUACAGAGACCUCAAGCAUUAUCCGGAUUUAUUGGGCGUAAAGGGUCCGCAGGUGGUUCGGCACGUCAUCGGUUAAAUCUUCGGGCUCAACCCGGGAACCGCCGGUGAUACGGCCAAACUAGAGGGUGGGAAAGGUCAGCGGAAUUCACGGUGUAGUAGUAAAAUGCGUUAAUAUCGUGAAGAACACCAAAUGCGAAGGCAGCUGACUGGAACACUCCUGACACUCAGGGACGAAAGCGUGGGUAGCGAAAGGGAUUAGAUACCCCANUANUC
rnacentral:rRNA from 1 species